AUAUUGCACAAUGGGGGAAACCCUGAUGCAGCGACGCCGCGUGAGUGAGGAAGUAUUUCGUUAUGUAAAGCUCUAUCAGCAGGGAAGANAAUGACGGUACCUGACUAAGAAGCCCCGGCUAACUACGUGCCAGCAGCCGCGGUAAUACGUAGGGGGCAAGCGUUAUCCGGAUUUACUGGGUGUAAAGGGAGCGCAGGCGGCACGGCAAGCCUGAUGUGAAAGCCCGCGGCCCAACCGCGGGACUGCAUUGGGAACUACCGGGCUGGAGUGCCGGAGAGGUAGGCGGAAUUCCUAGUGUAGCGGUGAAAUGCGUAGAUAUUAGGAGGAACACCAGUGGCGAAGGCGGCUUACUGGACUGUAACUGACGUUGAGGCUCGAAAGCGUGGGGAGCAAACAGG
rnacentral:rRNA from 1 species